AGCUUUGCACAGUGGCAGUAUCGGAGGCAAUGAGGUUUGUCUGAGAUACGAUGACUGCCAAUUGAAAACUUUAUCAAUGACUAUAAUCUCAUCUGUCUUUGGCAUGUCCUCUAGCAU
rnacentral:snRNA from 1 species